rnacentral:rRNA from 1 species
GUCGCAAGACCAAAGAGGGGGACCUUCGGGCCUCUUGCCAUCGGAUGUGCCCAGAUGGGAUUAGCUAGUAGGUGGGGUAACGGCUCACCUAGGCGACGAUCCCUAGCUGGUCUGAGAGGAUGACCAGCCACACUGGAACUGAGACACGGUCCAGACUCCUACGGGAGGCAGCAGUGGGGAAUAUUGCACAAUGGGCGCAAGCCUGAUGCAGCCAUGCCGCGUGUAUGAAGAAGGCCUUCGGGUUGUAAAGUACUUUCAGCGGGGAGGAAGGCGAUAAGGUUAAUAACCUUGUCGAUUGACGUUACCCGCAGAAGAAGCACCGGCUAACUCCGUGCCAGCAGCCGCGGUAAUACGGAGGGUGCAAGCGUUAAUCGGAAUUACUGGGCGUAAAGCGCACGCAGGCGGUCUGUCAAGUCGGAUGUGAAAUCCCCGGGCUCAACCUGGGAACUGCAUUCGAAACUGGCAGGCUAGAGUCUUGUAGAGGGGGGUAGAAUUCCAGGUGUAGCGGUGAAAUGCGUAGAGAUCUGGAGGAAUACCGGUGGCGAAGGCGGCCCCCUGNACAAAGACUGACGCUCAGGUG